rnacentral:rRNA from 1 species
UACGUAGGGCGCGAGCGUUAUCCGGAAUUAUUGGGCGUAAAGAGCUCGUAGGCGGUUUGUCGCGUCUGCUGUGAAAACUGGAGGCUCAACCUCCAGCCUGCAGUGGGUACGGGCAGACUCGAGUGCGGUAGGGGUGACUGGAAUUCCUGGUGUAGCGGUGGAAUGCGCAGAUAUCAGGAGGAACACCGAUGGCGAAGGCAGGUCACUGGGCCGCAACUGACGCUGAGGAGCGAAAGCAUGGGGAGCAAACAGG